AACGAACGCUGGCGGCAUGCCUAACACAUGCAAGUCGAACGAUUGCCUUCGGGUGAUAGUGGCGCACGGGUGCGUAACGCGUGGGAAUCUGCCCUUAGGUUCGGAAUAACAGCUGGAAACGGCUGCUAAUACCGGAUGAUAUCGCGAGAUCAAAGAUUUAUCGCCUGAGGAUGAGCCCGCGUUGGAUUAGGUAGUUGGUGGGGUAAAGGCCUACCAAGCCGACGAUCCAUAGCUGGUCUGAGAGGAUGAUCAGCCACACUGGGACUGAGACACGGCCCAGACUCCUACGGGAGGCAGCAGUGGGGAAUAUUGGACAAUGGGCGCAAGCCUGAUCCAGCAAUGCCGCGUGAGUGAUGAAGGCCCUAGGGUUGUAAAGCUCUUUUACCCGGGAAGAUAAUGACUGUACCGGGAGAAUAAACCCCGGCUAACUCCGU
rnacentral:rRNA from 1 species